GCCACUGUAGCAUAGUGGUAUGAGUGUUAUACUAUGACUGUGGAAACCUGGGUUCAAUUCCCAGCUCAGCCA